rnacentral:rRNA from 1 species
CGUGAACGCUGGCGGUAGGCCUAACACAUGCAAGUCGAACGGCAGCACAGUAAGAGCGUGCUCUUACGGGUGGAGAGUGGCGGGCGGGCGAGGAAUACAACGGAACCUACUUUUUCGCGGGGGAUAACGCAGGGAACCUUACGCUACUACCGCAUACGACCUACGGGCGCAAGCAGGGGAUCUUCGGACCUUGCGCGACCGAAUGCGCCGAUGCCGGAUUCGCUAGUUGGCGGGGCAAAGGCCCACCAAGGCGACGACCCGAAGCUGGCCAGGGAGGCUGAUCCACCCCACUGGAACCCAGAGACGGUCCCAACUCCUACGGUAGCCAGCAGUGGGGAAUAUUCGACAAUGGGCGCAAGCCUGAUCCAGCCAUACCGCGUAGGUGAACAAGUCCUUCGGGUUGUAAAGCCGUUUUGCUGCGAAAGAAAACCAGCAGCCUAAAACCCCACUGUUUUGGCGGUACCCAAAGACUAAGCGCCGGCUAACCUCCUG